AGUAACACGUGGGAACGUGCCUAAAGGUUCGGAAUACCUCAGGGAAACUUCCGCUAAUACCGAGCGUGCCCUUCGGGGGAAAUUUUUAUCGCCUUUAGAGCGGCCCGCGUCUGAUUAGCUAGUUGGUGAGGUAAAGGCUCACCAAGGCGACGAUCAGUAGCUGGUCUGAGAGGAUGAUCAGCCACAUUGGGACUGAGACACGGCCCAAACUCCUACGGGAGGCAGCAGUGGGGAAUCUUGCGCAAUGGGCGAAAGCCUGACGCAGCCAUGCCGCGUGAAUGAUGAAGGUCUUAGGAUUGUAAAAUUCUUUCACCGGGGACGAUAAUGACGGUACCCGGAGAAGAAGCCCCGGCUAACUUCGUGCCAGCAGCCGCGGUAAUACGAAGGGGGCUAGCGUUGCUCGGAAUUACUGGGCGUAAAGGGAGCGUAGGCGGACAUUUAAGUCAGGGGUGAAAUCCCGGGGCUCAACCUCGGAAUUGCCUUUGAUACU
rnacentral:rRNA from 1 species